CACCCGCAGCUCAAGUGGUGGUCACUUUUACUGAGCCUAAAGCGUUCGUAGCCGGCUUUGUAAAUCUUCAGGUAAAUUCUAGCGCUCAACGUUAGAUCGCCUGAAGAGACUGCAAAGCUUGGGACCGGGUGGGGUUGAACGUACUUUCAGGGUAGGGGUAAAAUCCUGUAAUCCUGGAAGGACGACCGGUAGCGAAGGCGUUCAACUAGAACGGAUCCGACGGUGAGGAACGAAGGCUAGGGGAGCAAACCGG
rnacentral:rRNA from 1 species